rnacentral:rRNA from 1 species
CUGCAGCCGCUGCUGGACAAGCUCCGCACACGCCUGGCGCGCUGGAAGGCCAGGCUGCUCACCCUUGCUGGUAGACUGGUUCUCCUCAACUCCGUCCUGACUGCUUUCACCAUAUACUGGUCGGCUGUCUAUGCGCUCCCACCAUGGGUUCGUAAGGAGCUGGAUCGGCUACGACAUGCAUGGUUAUGGCGUGGGGAGAAGGUGUGCCAUGGCGGGCACUACAAAGUUGUGUGGAGCCGCGUUUGCCGCCCGCGCGAUCUUGGCGGGCUCGGUAUCGUCGACCUGGAGCGGUUUGGCAUGGCGCUCCGCCUCCGCUGGCUCUGGGCGGAAAGGACCUCCGUCGUCCCCUGGCAGGGUUUACCGGUCCCAGUGACACUUGCGGAACGACAUAUGUUUGCGGCGGCAUGUGCAGUCACCGUUGGGGAUGGCAACCGAGUCAGUUUCUGGUACGAUAGCUGGCUACCCGAGGGCGCGCCGCUCGUGAUCGCCCCUGAUCUAUUCAAGGUCUCAAGACGCAAGGUGCGCUCCGUGCGUCAGGCACUGUUAGGGAGCAGAUGGAUUCAAGACCUCCGUGGCCGGGUGACCACCGACCUGUUGCCUUCCUUUGUCAGGCUAUGGGCGUGUGUCAAUUCCCGGCAGCCGCUCUCCCGUGGCACCAUGGAUUCCUUCCGCUGGAGGCUAACAGAAAAUGGCGUCUACACGACGGCCUCCGCGUAUAGGCUUUUCUUCAUCGGAUCCACUAUUUUCCCACUGUGUUAG